rnacentral:rRNA from 1 species
GACGAACGCUGGCGGCGUGCUUAACACAUGCAAGUCGAGCGGUAAGGCCCUUCGGGUACGACGAGCGGCGAACGGGUGAGUAACACGUGGGUGACCUGCCUCUAGCUCUGGGAUAAGCCUGGGAAACUGGGUCUAAUACCGGAUAUGACUCCACGGCGCAUGUUGUGGGGUGGAAAGCCUUGUGCGGCUAGAGAUGGGCCCGCGGCCUAUCAGCUUGUUGGUGGGGUGAUGGCCUACCAAGGCGACGACGGGUAGCCGGCCUGAGAGGGCGACCGGCCACACUGGGACUGAGACACGGCCCAGACUCCUACGGGAGGCAGCAGUGGGGAAUCUUGCGCAAUGGGCGAAAGCCUGACGCAGCGACGCCGCGUGAGGGAUGACGGCCU